rnacentral:rRNA from 1 species
GGCGGCAUGCUUUACACAUGCAAGUCGAACGGUAACAGGCCUUCGGGUGCUGACGAGUGGCGAACGGGUGGGUAAUGCAUCGGAACGUACCCAGAGGUGGGGGAUAACGCAGCGAAAGCUGUGCUAAUACCGCAUGUGAUCUGAGGAUGAAAGCGGGGGACCGAGCAGCAAUGUUUGGCCUCGCGCCUUUGGAGCGGCCGAUGUCGGAUUAGCUAGUUGGUGGGGUAAAGGCCUACCAAGGCGACGAUCCGUAGCUGGUCUGAGAGGACGACCAGCCACACUGGGACUGAGACACGGCCCAGACUCCUACGGGAGGCAGCAGUGGGGAAUUUUGGACAAUGGGCGCAAGCCUGAUCCAGCAAUGCCGCGUGCGGGAAGAAGGCCUUCGGGUUGUAAACCGCUUUUGGCAGGAACGAAACGGUGUCCGCUAAUACCGGGCGCUAAUGACGGUACCUGCAGAAUAAGCACCGGCUAACUACGUG